rnacentral:tRNA from 1 species
UCCUGUGUGGCUCAGUUGGUAGAGUAUGGUGUUUGCAUUGCCAAGUUGUGUGUUCGAUUCCCACGGGGG